CUCCACUCCACUAUGAACUCCUGAACAGCAGAGGCAGCUUUCCGGGGAGGCUGCCAGGUCACCACAAUGUUGUUCAUGUCCGCUGACCUUGCAGAUACCCGGGAAGGAGCCAGCAACCCUUUGGGGGUGAGGAAGAGGAAGGACAAAAUGAGAAUGGAUAAAGAUGAAAACAGGAACUGGGGGGACAUCUCAGUCGGUCAAGUGUUUGAGGACACGGGUUCAGUCCCCAUAUCCCACUGGGCUAGACGUGGUUGGCAUGGUGGUGCACGUUGGUACUCCUAGUCCUGGGGAAGUGGGCCAGGAAGAUCCCUGGGCAUCUCCAGCCAGGCAGACUAGCCUACUUAGCAAGCUCCAGCCAGUGAGAGACCUUUUUUUUUUUUUUUUUUUUUUACAACAACAAACAAAAAACAAGGUAGAUAGUGCCUGAGGAAUGACAUCUACCUAAGGUUAUCCUGUGCCUAUAUAUGCACACAUGCAUCUGUUCAUGCAUGAACACACACACACACACACACACACACACACACACACACACACACACACACACGACAGCUUAUCCCAGCUCAGUCUUAGAAACCAUCAAUCUCUCUUUUGGGACUUCCAGGUCAAGGAUUAAGUUUAUGCUUUUCAGUUCAUGGAGGAUUAGCCUCAGCAGCUUGUCCUAUAAUCCUGUGUAGCUUUCUUUGUGGAUUUAUUUCCUCUUUGUCUUCACUUACUUCAUUUCCUCAAAGUGCUUACUCCGUUAAAUGUAAUAUACACCCUUUUAAUGACCUCCCAUCUGUCUCCUUAGACGGAAAUGUAUCACUGAAAUGUAGUAUGACCCUUUGCUUGGCUGUUAUGUUUUUACACAACGGAUUAUUUUGUCAAACCUUUUCGCUUAGCUUUCUGUUUCUGGGAUAGAUUCAUCCUCCUUCUCUGUAAACCUAGCUCACUCCCUCACACUUCUGCCUACACCCUUUUCUCAUCUGCUUUCCAGUGGCCAGCAGGAGUGUGCUGACACAAAGACACAGUGACCGGUCUCUGCAGUCCCUCUUGUGCACAUCCAAGACCAUUCUGGAUGAACAUGCGCCAAACUGCUUGCUUAGGGAGUGUCCUUCUGCUUGAUCUCCAAAACAGAUGGAUGAGAGGAGGGUGAAGCUCUUGCCCAGCCUGAGGAAGGCGCUGGACACAUGCCCAGAAGGGGUAACAUUGCUCUUUCAGCAAAGACAACAAAAUGAGAAAAGCUUUCAUAAAGCAUUCUGAAAUGCUUUCAGUUCUUCAGGACAUGAAAGAGUGCCACAGGAACUGAGCCUGGGCCUUGUAUCUGAGAGUUCAUGUCCCAAGAAUUAAAAAGUACAGGCAACUGACACUAACCACUGCGAAGUGCAAGGGAAAGUUUAGACACUGCCGUGUACAUGGUCUCACUGAGCCCUCUUCUGAUAUAGCAGACUCGCAUGAUGACAUCUGCUGUACAGCUGUGGACAAGGAGCUUGGCAAAGACCAGAUCGACAAAAGACUCAGAGCUGAUACCUGACAAAGCUGAGAGCUGCGGCCAGCUCUUGCUAUCUCCAAAGAGCCUGCUUUUCCCCUUGCAGUUUGCUAUACUGAACAAAGAUCUGUAUUGAACAUUCCACAAAUUACAUCGUCCAGGCAUUGACCAUGUAAUUAGGAUUGGGUGUGUUCAGUAUCAAAUCAGUUGGCUUGUUCACAGCAAUAACACCUUCAACUAAUUACAUAUUGGCAACAGAUUUAAAGGUAUUGCUCACUAGAUUGCUUGUUAAAGAUCUAGCACCUAACAGAUUAUUACAGACUGGGAAUCAAAUUCUGCACUGAUGCUCCCUCUACAAACUCCAGAACAAAUGUAAAUGAAGUUUUAGUGGUGCUCUCCAGCACAGGACUCAGACUGCCUUCCCUGGAUCACCAGCGGCCCCUCCCUCAGACCCUCAUCAUUCUCUUGCAAAUGUACUGCAUUGGGUCUGAUCCCCAAGAGAAAAACAAGGAAUUUCUUAAUAGCAUAUACUUUUUCGAUAUUGCUCCCAUCUCUGUCUUUCACAGAACUUUUUGGAAGGAGUUGAACAUUGUGGCUGCCUUCAUUCCCGCACUACACAUGCACUCUCCGCCCAUGUUAUGUGACAUCGCUUCCUCCAUGCACACUGAUCGCACAGCUACAGGCUGUCCCAGUCACCAGGUCUAGUGGAUACUUCUCCGCUCUCAUUUCGUUGCAUUUCUUAGCAUCCCAAGUCAAGAAGUUGUUUCUAUUCUAUUUUUCCGAUGCAAGGAUUUUUCUGGAGACAUGAUUAUGUGUGAGAAAGUGCUGAGGGAACCAGGGUUUCGAGUUCUCUCCUGCUGCUUCAUCCACUCUACUAUGAAGGAAUUAGAGUAAUGAUGGGAAAAGCAGGUUGUAGGUAAUACAGAGAGUGCAACUUUCAGAAAGCUCAAACAAGGAACGCUAGAUGUUGUUUAGAGACACAUGGAUGAGAAAUACACAGCCCGGGAGAGUGCGACCAGUGGGAAGACAUGACAGGUGUUGAAUCUGGAAGUGCUAAUGUUGUCCUACUUGUGAUGAGAUCACGGAUGAGAAUGAGAAGAGAAAGAUAGCGCAAGAGACCAACAAAAAACCAAGACCAUGAGAUUUCCGAGAACUCAAGCACAUUACACAUUUCAAGAGGGCAAUUGCUCCUUUCCUCACUGCAAGACCUUGAAGACUGUAAAUCCCAGACAAAACACCUUGUGUCAGACUGCUGUUAACUGAAUCUAUAGAAUGGAUGGCUUGAACAACAUACGUCUGUUUGUAUGGUUCUAGAGGCUGGGAAGUGAAAAUCAAGGUGCUAUUAGAUCUGAACCUAGUGAGAGCCUGCUUGGUGUGGCUGUCUUCUUGCUGAAUCCUCACACAGGAAGUGGGACCGGCUGUUCCGAGGCCGGUAUCUGAGUCGAUUGCACACCACUUGCUGCUCAUCUUUCCACUGCAGGAUACAUCUGCUCCCAGAAGCAUUUAGAAAAUUGAUUCUGA